AUUGAACGCUGGCGGAAUGCUUUACACAUGCAAGUCGAACGGCAGCACGGACUUCGGUCUGGUGGCGAGUGGCGAACGGGUGAGUAAUACAUCGGAACGUGCCCAAUCGUGGGGGAUAACGUAGCGAAAGCUACGCUAAUACCGCAUACGAUCUAAGGAUGAAAGCGGGGGAUCGCAAGACCUCGCGCGGUUGGAGCGGCCGAUGGCAGAUUAGGUAGUUGGUAGGGUAAAGGCCUACCAAGCCGACGAUCUGUAGCUGGUCUGAGAGGAUGAUCAGCCACACUGGGACUGAGACACGGCCCAGACUCCUACGGGAGGCAGCAGUGGGGAAUUUUGGACAAUAGACGCAAGUCUGAUCCAGCCAUUCCGCGUGCAGGAUGAAGGCCCUCGGGUUGUAAACUGCUUUUGUACAGAACGAAAAGGCUCUGGUUAAUACCUAGGGCUCAUGACGGUACUGUAAGAAUAAGCACCGGCUAACUACGUGCCAGCAGCCGCGGUAA
rnacentral:rRNA from 1 species